GCACUGAUGAAGAGUCCCAGACUAGGACGAAACAGCAACUGUCCAGUAC
rnacentral:hammerhead_ribozyme from 1 species